CCUACGGGAGGCAGCAGUGAGGGAUAUUGCACAAUGGGCGCAAGCCUGAUGCAGCCAUGCCGCGUGUAUGAAGAAGGCCUUCGGGUUGUAAAGUACUUUCAGCGGGGAGGAAGGCGGUGAGGUUAAUAACCUUGCCGAUUGACGUUACCCGCAGAAGAAGCACCGACUAACUCCGUGCCAGCAGCCGCGGUAAU
rnacentral:rRNA from 1 species